rnacentral:lncRNA from 1 species
UCUUCAAUAAAAAGGUUCUUACCCUUCUGGUUAGUAGGUUUUUGGCACUCUAUUGCUCUAUGACCUGGUUCUCCACAUCUGAAGCACUUGAUGCUAGAAUUAAAGUUACCAUGAGGUUGUUGUGGUGUAGUACGAGAAUUUGGGGGUAGGUUCGGCUUGCUGGGGAGAUUUCUCCUUGGCAUCGAUCUACUGUUUUAUUGUUUUUCUGCCUCACGAGCUCGCUGAUAUGCUUCAGAAACAGUCCAAACUGAAUGGAGGCUAAAGGCGUUCUGCAACAGCUAUUUUAAUCCUCCUAAAUAUCGUGCCACCAGUUGGUCUUCGAUUUCCGAUAGAUCAUUCCUUGCUAUCAAUUGGUUAAAUUCUUCGGUAUAAUCAUCCACAGAUCGAAUACCUUGUCUUAACAGAUGAAAUAUCUUAAACAGAGUUUGAGUGUAUCCGAAAAGAAAAAAGAGGCUAUGCAUCUUUUUCUUCAUCUUUUCCCACUUGG